ensembl:lncRNA
AAACCAGGUCUAAACCAGGUCUAAACCCGGACUAAACCAGGUCUAAACCAGGACUAAACCAGGUCUAAACCAGGUCUAAACCCGGACUAAACCAGGUCUAAACCCGGACUAAACCCGGACUAAACCCGGACUAAACCAGGACUAAACCCGGACUAAACCCGGACUAAACCAGGUCUAAACCAGGACUAAACCAGGUCUAAACCAGGACUAAACCAGGUCUAAACCAGGACUAAACCAGGUCUAAACCAGGUCUAAACCAGGUCUAAACCAGGUCUAAACCAGGUCUAAACCAGGACUAAACCAGGUCUAAACCAGGACUAAACCAGGUCUAAACCAGGACUAAACCAGGACUAAACCAGGUCUAAACCAGGAC